rnacentral:miRNA from 10 species
AAUACAGGAUUCCCAGUUAAAUGUGAAUGUCAGAUAAAUAAAAAUAUUUUUAGUACAAGUAUGUCCCACGCAAUAUUUGGAACAUACUUAUACUAAAAAAGUAUUUAUUGUUUAAACUUCAAAUUUAACUGGGCAUCCUGUAUUUU